rnacentral:rRNA from 1 species
GAUGAACGCUGGCGGCGUGCCUAAUACAUGCAAGUCGAGCGAACAGAUGAGGAGCUUGCUCCUCUGACGUUAGCGGCGGACGGGUGAGUAACACGUGGAUAACCUACCUAUAAGACUGGGAUAACUUCGGGAAACCGGAGCUAAUACCGGAUAAUAUAUUGAACCGCAUGGUUCAAUAGUGAAAGACGGUUUUGCUGUCACUUAUAGAUGGAUCCGCGCCGCAUUAGCUAGUUGGUAAGGUAACGGCUUACCAAGGCAACGAUGCGUAGCCGACCUGAGAGGGUGAUCGGCCACACUGGAACUGAGACACGGUCCAGACUCCUACGGGGGGCAGCAGUAGGGAAUCUUCCGCAAUGGGCGAAAGCCUGACGGAGCAACGCCGCGUGAGUGAUGAAGGUCUUCGGAUCGUAAAACUCUGUUAUUAGGGAGGAACAAAUGUGUAAGUAACUAUGCACGUCUUGACGGUACCUAAUCAGAAAGCCACGGCUAACUACGUG